rnacentral:rRNA from 1 species
CCCAGCAGCCAUAUCAGCCUGCAGCUCACAAUGACACCCCCACUGAAGCUAAGUAGGUGUGAUCCUGGUCACUACCUGGAUGGGAGACCUCCUGGGAAAAAGUUUACUGCUGGAA